AUGGUGAGGCACCAUUUCAUCGCCCCCGAAGCUGAUGCUAUUCUCAAUAUCCCGUUGAGGGCUGGAGGAGGAGAUGAUUCCUGGGCAUGGACUGCAGAAAAGUCGGGCAACUACACUAUGAAAUCAGCGUACCAUUCUCUCAUGACCUUGAACGAGCAUUCCGCUCUAAGGGAAGGGACGGUCACGGAAUCUUCAGAGAAACAAAAACAGUUGUGGACAAGACUUUGGAAGCUAAAAGUUGUGCCAAAGGUCAGAGUGUUUUGGUGGCGAGUGCUAAGGGGAAUUCUUCCUACUGAGUGCACCUUGAGACAUCGACACAUUGCUGAUUUGGCACGUUGCAAAGUUUGCCUUGAUGCAGACAAGGAUAUGUAUCAUGCAUUGAUUAAAUGCACUCAUGCUAAGCUCUUCUGGAAGGAGGUGCGGGAAAUUUUAUCUGCCAAGCUUCCUGACCUCCAUACAGAAACUUGGUCGAGGGAUAUUUUGUGUGACCCUAGAUUUGAUGAAGUGGAUCAAGCGAAAGUUAUCAUUGUCAUGUGGGCGAUUUGGACGUCCAGGAAUAAUACAACACAUGAUAAGGCAAGCUUGGAUCAUGUUCACUCUAUGAAGAUGACAAGAGAGGCCUUGUCGCUGCUAGAACUACCCCAACAGCAUGCGAUGAUCUUACCGGGCCAUGGUUGGAGACCACCUGAGGACGACUGUAUAAAGAUUAAUACUGAUGUUGGGAUUUCCAUGGAGGCAAGAAGGUGCGGACUGUAUAAAGAUUAA
rnacentral:rRNA from 1 species